rnacentral:misc_RNA from 1 species
UCACCUCCUUUCUACGAGUUCUGUGGNCCCGUGUGGCGUCCGUUUCGGGACGAUGUGUUCCGCCUGUGGGGUNNNGUCGUCCCUGCUGGUGUGGAAGAGAUCAAGAUCUGUUGCCGGCCUGUGGGUCGGUGGUGGUGCGGUGCAUGCUGUUGGUCCCCGGACCGCCACGCCCCUUGUGUGGGGUGGGUGUUCCGCGCCCAUGGGUCCGGUGCGGCGUGUUCGUCGUGUCGUGCGGGCUUGUGGUGUGGUGGUGGUUUGAGAACUGGAGAGUGGACGCGAGCAACGGCCGCAUCCGUUUGGGUGUGGUUGNUGUUCGUANNGUGAAUGAACCGAGGCUCAUCGGUCCGUUGUGGCUGGUGCGGCCUGGACGCAUCCCUGUUGUCCGGUGUGUGUGUNCGUUCGUUUGUUUCGUGUCAGCCAUGCCCUGUUGUUCGGUGUNGUUGAUGUGUGUGAUGAACUGAUAGUCGUCGAGUGUUGNAGUUGGACACAGUUUUGUGUUUUUCGUUGAUGUCGGAAUGCNCCAUGGACGUGGCCGUGCGUAGGAUGCCUUGG